GAAGAUUGUUUUGGUUGUGCUUUGAAUGCAGAUGAAUAUGAUUAUCCUACUAAUAAAACAUUCACUACUAUUCUUCGGAGAUAUAACCAGUUUAGAUGGAAAGGAUCUCAAGCUGAAUAGAUGAAGAUGUAAAUGAAUCUUUACCCAUUAAUAGACACGGUACUUCCUAGUAAUUGCGAUGCUUCCUGUGGGGAAAAAAAAAUGUUAUGUCUAAUAUAUGCUGUACAUCCAUGUUGUUUCCUUUUUCCUCUGUAAAAACAAAAUGACUGAGUGUUCAAAGCAGGCCGCCGUCACCGCUAAAUACCACAGCUAGGAAUAAUGGAAUAGGACUCUGGUUCUAUUUUGUGGGUUUAAUUCCUAGCAUUAUUCCUAGCUGUGUAGUGAUGAGUCAACUUGCCAAAGGGCAAACAUAACAUGGUGUCAGAGUGACGGUCCAAAGACCCGCCUACAGCGAAGAUGAUGGAGAUGUAUGGCAUUCCAGCACCGUGGAUGGAUUGGAAUUCGGCCCGAAGCAUGGAGGCGAUUCAAACAACAAGCCGAGCUGAUGUUUUCGGGCCCAUUGCGGGAGAAAUGCGAACCAGAGAAGUGCAGUUACCUUCUUUUAUGGAUCGGGGACAAGGGACAGGACAUAUACAACACCUGGUCACUUUCCGAAGACGAAGCUAAAAAGCUACAGACAUACUACGAUAAGUACAGGUUCCUCCGACUACCCUUUGGGAUCAAUUCGGCGCAGGACAAAUUCCAGAGGCGUGUGAAUGAAACGUACGAAGGCCUCAAAGGUGUUGCUGCCAUAGUUGAUGACAUCCUUGUAUUCGGUAGGGACAAAGAGGAACACGACACUAACCUGAGAGCCAUGCUACAACGCACGAGAGAGAGAGGACUAAAACUGAACCCCGACAAAUGCCGUAUUGGCGUCCAAGAGGUCACACAGCUAAAUGCCCAGUGUUAAAUUAACACUCAAAGUGUACAUAUGAGUCCAUCUGGCCGGGUGUUAAAAAGUAACACUGAAGCAGUGUUAAAGUUAAUGAGAUAAUUGAUUGAUGAUUGAGUGAUGAUUGACAAUCAGUAGUGACACCUGAUGUUAAUAAGCAGAAUCACUGAAGAAACAACAAGAGAAAAAGAGAGAAACACGACAACUACAACUGACUUCCAGCCAUUAAACAUUAUUACACUUAUUAUUAACCAGUUUGAUUUUAUUUCUGUCAUACAUCAACAAAAGUUCUUAUUGAGAAUUAACAGAUGUUUAGAUGUUAAUGUUUUAAUGAAAGUUUAGUUUGAAGUCACCAUGAUGGUGAAAAGCAUUUCCUUUAGUUGUGUUUGUAGAGCACAUUUGUAACGGCCUGAGAAACUGUGAUCUGGGCUGCAUUUCCCACAAGUGUUGUAAGUGAAAGUUGAUCAGUUUAGGUUUAUGAUGCUUUGGGAAGCGCAGUCAUAAUGCUUGUGUUUUGAUGAUGACAUUCUCAUUGUAAAAUGGCCUGAUUCAUUGGUGACAUCCAGUAUUGGUAUGAGCUUUUAUAAUCUGAAGUUUUUUUGAAUCACACACAGACAUCAAGAAUCAGCAUAUGACCCUCAACAAUGGCGACAAUCAAACAAAGUGCUUCAUGUUGCAGUGCAUGAUGGGAGCCACCAAUCAAAACUCAUCCAUGGCUCCCAUCAUGCAUUUCUGCAUGAAUAAAUUAUGCAGCUGAAUUGUCCUGUAAUUUUCGUAGAUUGUUCAUGUUUGCUUUUAUUUUUCUGUUGUUUUGUUGUGACAGUAGCUUGUUUUGUGAUGUUCAGAGUUGAUCUGUUUGUCAGUAUUUUGUAUUUAUUUAUUGUCACCGUUCUUGAGAAUCAUAUGCUGAUUCUUGAUGUCUGUGUGUGUCUAAACAGAGAAGACUUUGUACAUAAUGUAUUUUUCUUAAAAAAAAAUAAAAUAAAAAAUAAAAUAAUUGUUCGUACUGCUGUUGGAUCUCAAGCUGUAAAUCACAGGACUACAAUCAUUAAUACUAAAGCUGUACAUCAAGCAUACGGUCUGAGAUUUAGACUCUAAAUGACAUCAGGCCAUUGCAUGAUGAUAAUAUCAGCAUCAAAACAUAUUGUGACCAGAUCAUGUUUUCUCUGGCCAUAACAAAUGUGCUUUACAAACACAAAGCUGGAGCAGCCAGAGAAAAACUAAUAAAAGGUAAAGAGUCAAGAGCCCAACUAAAGCAAACACUGACCUCUAUCAUGGUGACUUGAAAUGAAACAUUCCAUAAAACAUUAAUUAACACCUUUUUUCUCUCUUUCCUUCAAUGAUUCUGCUUAUUAUCAUCAGGUGUCACCACUGAUUGUCAAUCAUCACUCAAUCAUCAAUCAAUUAUCUCAUUAAUUUUAACACUGCUUCAGUGUUACUUUUUAACACCCGGCAAGAUGGACUCAUAUGUUCACUUUGGGUGUUAAUUUAACACUGAUGAUAUACUUCAGCUUGUGAAAAAGCUACUUGUGACGAUCUCUGAUUCUUCAUGUGGCUUCCUCUUUUACCACCUGAAUUAUUAUGGUGGUUGUCAGUAUAUGUUAAAGGUACAAAACAGAUUUUAGUAGUAGUGUGCAUUGUUGAAUUUACUAAUUUACAUUCAAAUUUUCUUGUUUGUAAAUUACAGUUUGUUCUGUAAAUGUGUUUACAGUUUUUCUGUAUUUUUUACAAAAGUAUUCUGGCAACCACAGCUGCCAAAAUUAUUUUGUAAAAACUACAGUUUUUUUUUUACAGUGUGUAUGUGGAAAUAAUAAUAAACAUUUUCUAUCA